rnacentral:tRNA from 1 species
GCGGAUAUGGUCGAAUAUUUCUCUUUGCCAAGGAGAAGAUGCGGGUUCGAUUCCCACUAUCCGCC